UACCGCAUGAUGCCUACGGGCCAAAGAGGGGGACCUUCGGGCCUCUCGCGUCAGGAUAUGCCUAGGUGGGAUUAGCUAGUUGGUGAGGUAAGGGCUCACCAAGGCGACGAUCCCUAGCUGGUCUGAGAGGAUGAUCAGCCACACUGGAACUGAGACACGGUCCAGACUCCUACGGGAGGCAGCAGUGGGGAAUAUUGCACAAUGGGCGCAAGCCUGAUGCAGCCAUGCCGCGUGUAUGAAGAAGGCCUUCGGGUUGUAAAGUACUUUCAGUCGUGAGGAAGGCGGCGUCGUUAAUAGCGGCGUUGUUUGACGUUAGCGACAGAAGAAGCACCGGCUAACUCCGUGCCAGCAGCCGCGGUAAUACGGAGGGUGCGAGCGUUAAUCGGAAUUACUGGGCGUAAAGCGCAUGCAGGUGGUUUGUUAAGUCAGAUGUGAAAGCCCGGGGCUCAACCUCGGAAUAGCAUUUGAAACUGGCAGACUAGAGUACUGUAGAGGGGGGUAGAAUUUCAGGUGUAGCGGUGAAAUGCGUAGAGAUCUGAAGGAAUACCGGUGGCGAAGGCGGCCCCCUGGACAGAUACUGACACUCAAAUGCGAAAGCGUGGGGAGCAAACAG
rnacentral:rRNA from 1 species